rnacentral:rRNA from 1 species
UACGUAGGGUGCGAGCGUUGUCCGGAAUUAUUGGGCGUAAAGAGCUCGUAGGCGGUCUGUCGCGUCUGCUGUGAAAACCCGAGGCUCAACCUCGGGCCUGCAGUGGGUACGGGCAGACUAGAGUGAUGUAGGGGAGACUGGAAUUCCUGGUGUAGCGGUGAAAUGCGUAGAUAUCGGGAGGAACAUCAGUGGCGAAGGCGGCUAUCUGGUCUAACACUGACACUGAGACACGAAAGCGUGGGGAGCAAACAGG